UAGCUCAGUCGAUAGAGCAUGAGACUCCUAAUCUCAACGUCGUGGGUUAGAGCCCCAC
rfam:Danio rerio chromosome 2, GRCz11 reference primary assembly.